rnacentral:tRNA from 1 species
UCCCAGUUGGCUCAGCGGUAAAGAAUCUGCCUUCCAAGCAGAAGACGGAAGUUCGAUCCUUGGGUUGGGAA